rnacentral:rRNA from 1 species
AUUGAACGCUGGCGGCAUGCCUUACACAUGCAAGUCGAACGGCAGCACGGGUGCUUGCACCUGGUGGCGAGUGGCGAACGGGUGAGUAAUAUAUCGGAACGUACCGUAUUGUGGGGGAUAACGCAGCGAAAGCUGUGCUAAUACCGCAUAAUCCCUAAGGGGGAAAGCGGGGGACCGUAAGGCCUCGCGCAAUUAGAGCGGCCGAUACCUGAUUAGCUAGUUGGUGAGGUAAAGGCUCACCAAGGCAACGAUCAGUAGCUGGUCUGAGAGGACGAUCAGCCACACUGGGACGAAGACACGGCCCAGACUCCUACGGGAGGCAGCAGUGGGGAAUUUUGGACAAUGGGGGCAACCCUGAUCCAGCAAUGCCGCGUGAGUGAAGAAGGCCUUCGGGUUGUAAAGCUCUUUUGUCAGGGAAGAAACAGCAGCUCUAACACAGUUUGCGAAUGACGGUACCUGAAGAAUAAGCACCGGCUAACUACGUGCCAGCCGCCGCAGUAA